rnacentral:lncRNA from 1 species
UUUUUCUUUUCCUUCUCCUUUUGGAAUUCCUAUUCUGUGUAGUUUGGUCCACUUUAUAUGAUCCCAUAGGUGUCUUAUAUUGCUUUCAUGUUUAUUCAUUUGGGUUUCUGUCUGCUGUCCUGAUUGGAUGAUUUCUGUUAUUCUGUCUUCCACGUCACUAAUUCGUUCCUCUGCAUUAUUCAUUCUGGUCUUUAUUGCCUUUAGCUCAGUUUGCAUCUCUGCAAAUGAGUUUUCUAGGUUUCCUUGACUCCUCCUUACAUUUUCUAGUUCCUUUCUAAGGGAGUCUGCAUUCCUGUUUGUGUCUUCUCUUAAUUCCUUGAUAUUCAGCCUUAAUUCCUUCAGGAUUUUCACUGUCUCCCUUUUGAACUCAGUGUCUGUCAGACUGCAGAGGUCUCUUUCAUUGUUGAUGGCUUUAGGUGACUCCUUCUGUUCCUUUAGCUGGGAAUGGUUUCUGAGCUUCUUCAUCUUGCUUAUGCUUUUCUUUUUCUGUGAGUUUGGGGAAGCCAAACUGUGGUCUUGUAAGGCUACUUCUAAGCAAGAUCACCCCUGUAUAUUUGGGGGGAGGGGUGUUACUCUUUAUUUUUGGUGUAGGAGUUUGAUUAUUUGCUGUCUCUUUCUUUGGAGUGGGCAGCAUUUCCCAGAAUACUCAGUGUGUUUUCAGGGAGAAGGAGGCAGUGGGUAGGGCCAGUGGUUUGUGCCUGGUUGCUGGGCUCUCACCAGCAGCAAGGACCUGCAGGAAGGUGGCACAGGCCACUGCUAGUUGCAGGGCCCUGGGAAGUGGCGAUGAGCUCUAGGCAGAUCUACAAGGUGGCCAGAGCAUUCAGCAGUGGCAGCAGCAGGGUGCGUGAGUUCCCAGGGGAGCGAGAGCAACAGCAGCUUGUGUUUGAUUGCAAUGCCCUCCUCUGAGGUGACGAGAACCGCAGGUGGUGCCUGUUCAGGGACCCCUAGUGGGAGCGGGCCAUGACCAUCUCUGGAGUCAGUGAUAACUGUGGUGGUUUGCCCUGCCACCUGUAGGUGGUGCAUGAAGCAACCCGUCUCACUUAGCCCACAUAGGAGGUGCUGUACAGGCUGCUCCUAGUUAUAGGAUCCUGGGAAGUGACAGAGAUCAGGCGUGUGGGUACUGCCUGUGGCAUUCAGCAGUGGCAGCAGGAGGGCAGGUGUGUUCCCAGGGAGUGAGAGCACCAGCAGGUGGUGCUCGGUCACAGUGCUCUCCUCCGUGGUGCCCUCGAGGUGAAUGGGCUGCAAGUGGUAUGUGUUCAUGGACCCCAGUGGUGGCAAGCCACUCCCACCUCUGGAUCCAACCUGGGGUGGUUUGCCCCCACCUCCUGUAGACCAUGGCAGAAGCACCUUGUCCUGUUUAACUCCCAGAGGAGGUGCUGCAUAAGCUGCUCCUAGUUGCAGGUUCCUGGGAAGGGACAGUGAUGAAGCAUCCGGGCACUGCCCAGAGUGUUUGGCAGUGGCAGCAGCAGGGCGAGUGUGCUCCCAGGGGAGUGAGAGCACCUGCGUAUGGUGAUUGGUUGCAGUGCCCUCUUCUUUUCUUUUGUGUCAACCCCUGAGGUGACUGGGGUCACAGGUGGGGCCCACUCACAGGCCCCCAAUGGUGGCAAGCCAUACCUCCCUAUGGCCUCUGAGAGGACCGUUGCGGUCUGUCCCUGUCAUCUGUAGAUUGUGCAAGAGGCACCAUGUGGCACUUAGCCCCCCGAUGGCCUUGGCCCAAUCGAGAUGUGCCUACCACCAGUAGCCUGCACCAGAAGUGCCCAGUCUCCCUAAACACGCAAGAGGCUUCUCACUGCCCAUAGCCUGUGCCAGAGCUGCUCUGCCCUCUGCGAGCCCGCAGUGUAGGGCAUUUCCUCUGGCGUCCGCCCCUCCUCCUCUCCCUCUUCCCAACUCUGGUGCCUUGCCUCUUCCAGGGGUCCAGACCUUCUCCCCGGUUCCCUCUGCCGUGGUGUUCCCCUCCUCAGCCCGUGGAGUACCACUCCC